ensembl:lncRNA
AUGUCUGGCCAAAAAAGGACUUGGCAGCAAGUCAAGAUUAAAUACAAGAAUAUUUUGCAGGCUGCAAUAAAAAAAAAAAGUCAUAUAUCUGGUACGGGGGGUGGCCCUCCAACCCAAGACUUCACCACAGCAGAGGAGCUGGCCCUGGACUUAAAUAAAGGGAAGCCAGUGAUUGAAGGGAUCCAGGGAGGGACAGCCACUGACUCUGGCCCAGCAAGGGAUACUGGCCUCUUCAUACAAGUGGCUGGUAACACCCUUACAUUUUUGGAGCCACCAGACUAUAAUUCAUCGAGGGAAGCCACAUCUACAGCAGUGGAGUGCACUUCUGCCGAUGAUGAGACCGUGUCGCUGGACUCCAGAAGGCUCGAGGAUCCUGACAUUGGGCAGCCUGAUAAGCAGCCUCGUAACAUAGUGAGUAUUGCCUACAGUAAAUUUACAUUAUGCAAAAAUUCUGCAAUGCUAACUAAAAGGUGUUCACAGAGUUCACAAACUGUCAGAUAUCUGUACACAACGCAUCUUAAGAGACAGAUCGAGCUGACAGAAGUCAAGAUUGAUGUGAAAAAAAGAAAGCUGCAGGACAUGGACCUUGAGAUGCAAAUUAAACGAAACACACUGAGGAAACUAGAACUGGAAAUCCAGAAACUAGAAAGAGAAGUAAGUGACUUCAGUUCAUACUGUAACCAUGACUGUAACACAAUGUAUUAAUCAUCAUAAUUUUUUUCUCUCCAAAGCUCCAAGCUGACAAGUGAUAACAACAAAAUAAUAAAAGAAAAAUAUUCCAAAAGCA